GAUGAACGCUAGCUACAGGCUUAACACAUGCAAGUCGAGGGGCAGCAUUUUAGUUUGCUUGCAAACUGAAGAUGGCGACCGGCGCACGGGUGAGUAACACGUAUCCAACCUGCCGAUAACUCCGGAAUAGCCUUUCGAAAGAAAGAUUAAUACCGGAUAGCAUACGAAUAUCGCAUGAUAUUUUUAUUAAAGAAUUUCGGUUAUCGAUGGGGAUGCGUUCCAUUAGUUUGUUGGCGGGGUAACGGCCCACCAAGACUACGAUGGAUAGGGGUUCUGAGAGGAAGGUCCCCCACAUUGGAACUGAGACACGGUCCAAACUCCUACGGGAGGCAGCAGUGAGGAAUAUUGGUCAAUGGGCGAGAGCCUGAACCAGCCAAGUAGCGUGAAGGAUGAAGGCUCUAUGGGUCGUAAACUUCUUUUAUAUGGGAAUAAAGUUUUCCACGUGUGGAAUUUUGUAUGUACCAUAUGAAUAAGGAUCGGCUAACUCCGUGCCAGCAGCCGCGGUAAUACGGAGGAUCCGAGCGUUAUCCGGAUUUAUUGGGUUUAAAGGGAGCGUAGGUGGAUUGUUAAGUCAGUUGUGAAAGUUUGCGGCUCAACCGUAAAAUUGCAGUUGAAACUGGCAGUCUUGAGUACAGUAGAGGUGGGCGGAAUUCGUGGUGUAGCGGUGAAAUGCUUAGAUAUCACGAAGAACUCCGAUUGCGAAGGCAGCUCACUAGACUGUCACUGACACUGAUGCUCGAAAGUGUGGGUAUCAAACAGGAUUAGAUACCCUGGUAGUCCACACAGUAAACGAUGAAUACUCGCUGUUUGCGAUAUACAGUAAGCGGCCAAGCGAAAGCAUUAAGUAUUCCACCUGGGGAGUACGCCGGCAACGGUGAAACUCAAAGGAAUUGACGGGGGCCCGCACAAGCGGAGGAACAUGUGGUUUAAUUCGAUGAUACGCGAGGAACCUUACCCGGGCUUAAAUUGCAACAGAAUAUAUUGGAAACAGUAUAGCCGUAAGGCUGUUGUGAAGGUGCUGCAUGGUUGUCGUCAGCUCGUGCCGUGAGGUGUCGGCUUAAGUGCCAUAACGAGCGCAACCCUUAUCUUUAGUUACUAACAGGUCAUGCUGAGGACUCUAGAGAGACUGCCGUCGUAAGAUGUGAGGAAGGUGGGGAUGACGUCAAAUCAGCACGGCCCUUACGUCCGGGGCUACACACGUGUUACAAUGGGGGGUACAGAAGGCGGCUACCUGGUGACAGGAUGCUAAUCCCAAAAACCUCUCUCAGUUCGGAUCGAAGUCUGCAACCCGACUUCGUGAAGCUGGAUUCGCUAGUAAUCGCGCAUCAGCCAUGGCGCGGUGAAUACGUUCCCGGGCCUUGUACACACCGCCCGUCAAGCCAUGAAAGCCGGGGGUACCUGAAGUACGUAACCGCAAGGAGCGUCCUAGGGUAAAACUGGU
rnacentral:rRNA from 1 species